rnacentral:lncRNA from 1 species
AAAGGAAGAGUUCUGCUACUUACAGACUGUUUGAAGACUGCUGCUCUGAUCAUAGCUUGAUUAAUUUUUCCAUCAAGAGAAUGGCACUACAUAUUUUGUAGAGGCAAAAGUAAUACAGAAUUUGCCUAAUGGAAUGCUUCCAAGGUUACCGUGAGGAUGAAUGGACUAGCAUUCAAAAAGCACUUCUGAAUCCUGGACAGGCUGAAGUGGAGGGCAAGUCUAUUGUUAUUCAUCCUAACAAUAGUAAUUGAUUGCUGGGGAGGGGGGCUUCCCAUGAUAACCUUUUAAUUUUCCUAUGAAAAACU